GAGUUUGAUCCUGGCUCAGAACGUACGCUGGCGGCACGCCUAACACAUGCAAGUCGAACGAAGUAGCAAUACUUAGUGGCAGACGGGUGAGUAACAUGUAGGUAUCUGCCCUUUGGCCUGGAAUAACACGAGGAAACUUGUGCUAAUACCGGAUAAGUCUUUACGGAGAAAGCUUUAUGCACCAUUGGAUGAGCCUGCACUUGAUUAGUUUGUUGGUGGGGUAAUGGCCUACCAAGACUGUGAUCAAUAGCUGAUUUGAGAGGAUGAUCAGCCACAUUGGGACUGAGACACGGCCCAAACUCCUACGGGAGGCAGCAGUGGGGAAUCUUGCACAAUGGAGGAAACUCUGAUGCAGCGAUGCCGCGUGAGUGAAGAAGGCCUUUGGGUUGUAAAGCUCUUUCGUCGGGGAAGAAAAUGACUGUACCCGAAUAAGAAGGUCCGGCUAACUUCGUGCCAGCAGCCGCGGUAAUACGAAGGGACCUAGCGUAGUUCGGAAUUACUGGGCUUAAAGAGUUCGUAGGUGGUUGAAAAAGUUAGUGGUGAAAUCCCAGAGCUUAACUCUGGAACUGCCAUUAAAACUUUUCAGCUAGAGUAUGAUAGAGGAAAGCAGAAUUUCUAGUGUAGAGGUGAAAUUCGUAGAUAUUAGAAAGAAUACCAAUUGCGAAGGCAGCUUUCUGGAUCAUUACUGACACUGAGGAACGAAAGCAUGGGUAGCGAAGAGGAUUAGAUACCCUCGUAGUCCAUGCCGUAAACGAUGUGUGUUAGACGUUGGAAAUUUAUUUUCAGUGUCGCAGGGAAACCGAUAAACACACCGCCUGGGGAGUACGACCGCAAGGUUAAAACUCAAAUGAAUUGACGGGGACCCGCACAAGUAGUGGAGCAUGUGGUUUAAUUCGAAGAUACGCGCAGAACCUUACCAACACUUGACAUGUUCGUCGCGACUCUAAGAGAUUAGAGUUUUCGGUUCGGCCGGACGAAACACAGGUGCUGCAUGGCUGUCGUCAGCUCGUGUCGUGAGAUGUUGGGUUAAGUCCCGCAACGAGCGCAACCCUCACUUUUAGUUGCCAUCAUUAAGUUGGGCACUCUGAAAGAACUGCCAGUGAUAAGCUGGAGGAAGGUGGGGAUGACGUCAAGUCCUCAUGGCCCUUACGUGUUGGGCUACACACGUGCUACAAUGGUAUCUACAACAGGAAGCAAGACUGCGAAGUUAAGCAAAUCCCUAAAAGAUACCUCAGUUCGGAUUGCACUCUGCAACUCGAGUGCAUGAAGCUGGAAUUACUAGUAAUCGUGGAUCAGCGUGCCACGGUGAAUGCGUUCCCGGGUCUUGUACACACCGCCCGUCACACCAUGGGAGUUGGUUCUACCUUAAGGCAAGGUUUCAAACCCUUGACCACGGUAUAGUCAGCGACUGGGGUGAAGUCGUAACAAGGUAACC
rnacentral:rRNA from 1 species